rnacentral:lncRNA from 1 species
CUUUGGUUUUAUUUUGACAUUAAAGGGAAUUUCAUGCUCGUUAUACAUUUAGCCCAAAGCCUACAAAUGUGCUGUCACCCAGUAUCCUGAUGGAAAAAUAUGACAUCACCCAAGUCAGGACAAUGAAGAUCAUUGCUACAUACAUUCAUAUUUGUGUUGAAAGCAGAACUCUCGAAACACUGGGAAAUGUUGCGGGCUGAUGUGAUUCAUUUUCGUAUGCAGAGCCUCGAGACUGCAGUGCAAGGCCAUCUGCGCUCAGACAGACAGGCAGACACAUGUCUCCCUUUCCAAAUUGAUUCAUGUGGCCUGUGAUACCUGCACCUUGUAGUGAUCAUUUUUAUUCCACCAUUGAGAUGUGAAGACUUAGAUUUCUCAGGCUUUAACAGGAAUUCAAUCCAAUCUAAUAACCUCUGAAAAGAAUUUUGAGGCUGUUACUCUGUUGCAGAGGUUGCAAAGAGGGAUGCACUAUUCAUAGUUUGUACAUAGAUGUAAAAACUGUGCACACCUGCUGCUGAGGAACACUGUGUAUUAGGUAGGCAUCACACCAAACAUGUUUUUGCUUCUUUGUAUAAGAUCAUAAGAACAGAUUUGGAACUAGAUUUUCCAAAAAUCUACAUAAGUUACCACAACACUCCUAUCUACUAUAUGGAAGAUAUUUAGUAUGUUGAACACGUACUUGUUAUUACUUAAGGUAAAAUAAAUCAG